rnacentral:lncRNA from 1 species
GGGCUUUGUCAUGCUCAAACUCCGGUAACUAGAUCCAUACCUGUAUGAGAAAAUUUAGACCAAAUAAAGUUAAAGACUUGGAACGCUAUGUGAGACAAUAACCCUUCCUGUUGGACAUAUGCAAGGCAUGAUUGUGACUAUUUUAGCAAAAUGGCUUAUUUGGCCUAAGGGUGGCUAAAAGUGCAAAAUGUGACUAAGACUCCGCAAAGCCAAGAACCUAAGAUUUACUAGGAAGACUGUACCAUAUGUGGGUUGCCUACGUAUCAUGCCCCGAAAGACGAGAAUCAGGUUCGCGUAGUUCGGGCAGAUUAGAUACGGGCGAGAAUUAAAGAAAAACAACUAAUUUAGAGAAAAUAUUUUUUUUGUCUUUUUUUUGAAAAAUGAUGAAACAUGUAAACUCUUUUUGGAUUUUCUUUUCUCUUUUUUUUUUUAUUUUUGAUUUUUGGAAAAUGAUGAAAAAGUGCAAAACCAUUUUUUUUUAAAUUUUUCAUGUUUUUUUCUUAACAAAAAUGUGACAGAAAACAUAGUCGGGCCCUUCUCGCUUUAUCCUCACACUUCACCCUCUCUCUUUUUUUCUCUUUUUUCUUUUUUUCUCUUUUUUUUUCCUAUUCCCUCAAUUAUCAUUUGGUCCGCCAAAUGACCCUUUUACCCUUGAAGAAAUGCAACAUGUAGACAUCGGAUGCAUCAAGGUGGUAUGUUANNNNNNNNNNNNNNNNNNNNNNNNNNNNNNNNNNNNNNNNNNNNNNNNNNNNNNNNNNNNNNNNNNNNNNNNNNNNNNNNNNNNNNNNNNNNNNNNNNNNNNNNNNNNNNNNNNNNNNNNNNNNNNNNNNNNNNNNNNNNNNNNNNNNNNNNNNNNNNNNNNNNNNNNNNNNNNNNNNNNNNNNNNNNNNNNNNNNNNNNNNNNNNNNNNNNNNNNNNNNNNNNNNNNNNNNNNNNNNNNNNNNNNNNNNNNNNNNNNNNNNNNNNNNNNNNNNNNNNNNNNNNNNNNNNNNNNNNNNNNNNNNNNNNNNNNNNNNNNNNNNNNNNNNNNNNNNNNNNNNNNNNNNNNNNNNNNNNNNNNNNNNNNNNNNNNNNNNNNNNNNNNNNNNNNNNNNNNNNNNNNNNNNNNNNNNNNNNNNNNNNNNNNNNNNNNNNNNNNNNNNNNNNNNNNNNNNNNNNNNNNNNNNNNNNNNNNNNNNNNNNNNNNNNNNNNNNNNNNNNNNNNNNNNNNNNNNNNNNNNNNNNNNNNNNNNNNNNNNNNNNNNNNNNNNNNNNNNNNNNNNNNNNNNNNNNNNNNNNNNNNNNNNNNNNNNNNNNNNNNNNNNNNNNNNNNNNNNNNNNNNNNNNNNNNNNNNNNNNNNNNNNNNNNNNNNNNNNNNNNNNNNNNNNNNNNNNNNNNNNNNNNNNNNNNNNNNNNNNNNNNNNNNNNNNNNNNNNNNNNNNNNNNNNNNNNNNNNNNNNNNNNNNNNNNNNNNNNNNNNNNNNNNNNNNNNNNNNNNNNNNNNNNNNNNNNNNNNNNNNNNNNNNNNNNNNNNNNNNNNNNNNNNNNNNNNNNNNNNNNNNNNNNNNNNNNNNNNNNNNNNNNNNNNNNNNNNNNNNNNNNNNNNNNNNNNNNNNNNNNNNNNNNNNNNNNNNNNNNNNNNNNNNNNNNNNNNNNNNNNNNNNNNNNNNNNNNNNNNNNNUGACCCUUUUACCCUUGAAGAAAUGCAACAUGUAGACAUCGGAUGCAUCAAGGUGGUAUGUUAUUUUAGGUACACAUGUUCUAGACGGACCCAACCCCUGUGUUGAGUCCCUAAAGUCAAAUGCACGUGAUGCAAGCAAACGUUCCAACUAGGGAUCCGGCAUGAGGCUGUGUUUUUCUAGGUUUUAAAACCUGGGGUUGUGUUCUAGACCUGGCUUACCCGAGCGGACAACUCGAGCCGAGAAGGGGCAACGUACCGGGAGCACUGAAGUCUACCUAGCCUUGUUGCUGGCCCAGCCCCGUUCUUAUUUGGUAUAACUUCUACAGAAAAAGCGGGCCACACGAACGUGUACACCAUUUUCAGAAGACUCAUAAGGGUGGCGUAAAAAGACAGUUGUAUACAAUUCAAACAAUAUUAAAGCGGUAAACAGAUAGCAUUUAGCACAAAAGGUUCACAGAAUACAGUAAUAUUAACAAUAAAUGAAGCCAAGUAAAAAUCAUAUUAACAAGCCCGAAUUCUUGAACCCUGAACCAGAGAUUCUGGGUUCUUGUCCCCAACAGAGUCGCCAGAGCUGUCACACCUCCUUUUUCCUACCCCAAAAAGGGGUAUAAGGGAGUUUUUUCCAAUUUAAGUGACAAUCAAAACAGGAUUAUUUAUUAAAAUCAGAGUCGCCACUUGCGAUAAUUUAUGGUGUCCCAAGUCACUGGUUAAAAUCCCGAAUCGAGGAAAUUGACUCUUAAUUACGGUCUGCGAACACAAAAAUCCGGGUAAGGAAUUCUGUUAACCCGGGAGAAGGUGUUAGGCAUUUUCGGGUUCCGUGGUUUUAGCACGAUCGUUUCGAUCAUACUUGGCUUAAUCAAAUUGUCUAAUUACUUACUUUUAGAACCUAUGUGCAUUUGCCUUUUUUAAUUAUGAAAUUAUCUUGAAACGGGUCACGCGUACGUGUACCCGUUUGUUUGGUGCGUCAAAAAUUAUGUCACGUGAACGUGUCCAUAAUUAAUAAUGCUUUAUUAUUAUUAAGAAAAUUUGGCCGAAGUUGCGUGAACGCAUACUCCGGUUUUGUUCUUAGAAAUCAUAGUCAUGUCACGCGAACGUGUCCACAACCACGAUAAUAUAUUAAAUGUGCCUAAAGCAAACUACGAACAUGCAUCAUUUUUGUAUCUAGGUUAUGAAAUUAAUACGAGGGCCAUAGAUGAUUAAAUUAUGGAUGGCACACCUCGAACUAUAUGAACUAAAUUAAUUAGCCGCUCAUUAGCAACCAUUUUAUUACUAAGAAAGAUUGAUUAAGUUGCGUGAACGCAUACUCCGAAUUAGUUCUUAGAAUCGUAAUUAUAUCACGCGAAUGUAUACACAAUCACAAUAGUAUUUGCACAUAUCUAUGUCACAAAGUGAAACCUUACUUAUUUUUUUCAAAUCAUUUAAGAAUUGUUAAAACAAUAUCAGAACUCAACAAUUAAAAUCAUCACUUUUUAACUCAAAUUAAUCCAAGAACAUGCCAAAUAUUAAGACGAUAAAUCAAAACUCUUCCAAACCCUUUUAAGUAAUAACUCAAAAACCCAAAUGAGCAUUAAGCACUCUAACAAUGUUUGUGAAUUGGUCGUUCCCAUGCAAAAGAUUAAUAAGAGGAAAACAAGUCAUGGAAGUCCAAUACGAUUAUAUCAAGUAAGGAAAACAAGGGUUCAAAAUAAAUUUUCAAAAGCACACCAACGACACUCUAUUCAAGUCAUGUGGGAGUUUAUUUCCAUUUGAUUAUAAGUACCUAAACAGACUUUGUACAUGAGGCAAUUUCAAUGAACAUCCACGCGGGAAUUAGAAUCAUAAAUUAGGAAUCAUGUAUCAAUUUAAAGGAGACCAAGUUGACAAAAAUGCUAAAGAAUCGAACCUUGAUGCAGCAAAAGAUUUUUCAUUAACAAAAACUCCAUGAAUCUACAUAAAAGCUUCGCCGGAACUCAACAAACCUCCAGCAACGCCGGAAAACAGCUAUGGUGAUAGUGCGAUGUAGCUGGAUUUGCUGUAUUUUAAGGGUUGUUUUGAAUUGGAGUUUGGGGUAGCUUUGACAGAGAUGUUGGAGCUGCCUUGAUGGUGCAAAUGGGAGCUUUCAAUGGCUGAUUUUCAUAGCUUCUUUGAGCUGGAGUUUAGGUGAUGUUCAUGGCUCGUUUUAGAGGUGUUUCAAUGGCUCCAUGGUUGUAUUUUUGUGGUGGUGUAGUGCUACUUCCGGCUUAUGUCAAAUAGUAUUUUUUUUUUACUAAUUUUGAUGGUUUAUUGGAGAAGAUGAAGGGAGUAGAAAGGCUACUGCUACUACUAGGAUACCCUCUAAGCUCUCCAAAAUGAAGAAGAUGAGUGUGUGUGCUUUCUGAAAUCUGCCCAGCCCCUCCCGUUCCCCAGAUUUGUUUUGGCGUUUUUCUUGUGUGUCUCUUCUGUGUGUGCAUGUGUUAUAUAGCAAGAAAAAAUGCGUGAAAGGAAAGAUUCCCCGGCUCUAAUUUUGUCCUCAUUCUCCUUUUUUCGUUCCAAAUUUGAGCCUCUGUUUCCGUUUUUUUUCUUUUUCUAUUUUUUCUCUUUUCCCGUCUUUUGUUCCCCUCCCCCUCUUCCUAUUCUGUUUUCUGUCAGCCCUUUUAUAAAAUGUGUGUGUCCAUCCUUAUUUUGGAAGGAAGAAGAAGAUAAAAAGAAGCCUUGUGGUCCCCCUCCCCUCCCAUGUGCUAAAAAAACGUGAGUGGCAAAUUAAAAAUAGGGUGCAAGUGAGGUUUGUUAUGGAGAGAUAAGGUGGUGGGAUCCACAUUUUCCAUUUGAUUUCCCUUUGCAUUUUUGCUUUUCACGUUCCUCUCUUCUUUGCCUAUUUUCCUUUUGCUUGUUUGCUUUUCAUUUUUCAUUUCCUCAUUUCAUUCUUCUUUUUUUAUUAUUUUUCUUUAUUCUAAAGAUGAAUCUAGAUAAUAGUUUUAUCUAAAAUAAUAAGGAAUAAUUAAAUGAAAGACAAGAUAAUCAUAUUAAAGAAAUCUAAAUACUACUCAAUAUUUACUAAAUAUGUACAACUUAAAAUCACACUAAGCCAAGUAAAAAUAUUUUUUAACUUCUCUUUUUAUCUUUUGUAAAAAUAUCAAUAAGCUAAAAUAAAAGGAAAUAUUUUUGUAGUUUUUUUUAAUUUUCAAGAUUGAAUAAAGCAAAAAGAAAAAAGUUUUAAAAAUGGCGUUAUUAGGCCUACAACCAACAUCUAAGCACUAAAAGGUAUAAAAUUUCGGGGAGGGUCAAAAAUUACAUGUCUACACACGCCAUAUGUCGAAGCAUGUGAAAUACUUAAUGAGAUGGCGGAUACUUUUCGGCAUGGAAAAGUCGAGCUAAUGUGCCACAAGGUAAUCCUAAUGUUAUUCACCUUCACAAGGAGCUCUAUGACCACGGCCAAGUAAUAGCCAAGUUGACUACUGCCAUGAACCAAUUGGCCAAAGCUCAUUUGCAACAAGUUCAAGGGCCAAAACUAGUGAAUGCCAUGGAAGGAGUGAAUAUAAUGAUCAAUAAGAGAAGGCAACGAGGUCAACAGGUUCAAAACAAUCCGGACCAAUUUGAGCAAAGUGGUAGUGGGUACAAUCAAGAUGAUGUAUAUGAUGAUAAAAGUGAAGAGGUUCAAUAUGUGAACAAUUAUCAGAGUCAACGGGGCAAUGCUGCGAAUCAACAACAGUGGAGAUCACAAGGAAAUUGGGGAAAUCAAGGUCAACAAGGAAAUUGGAAUAGUGGCAACAACAACAACCAAAGCAACUGGGGGAACAACAACGGGCAACCAAGGAAACCAAGGCAAUUAGGGUGGCAACAAUAAUAGUAAUUGGGGAGGCAAUAACAAUCAAGGGGGUUGGAAUAACAAUAAUCAAGGGAAUCGAGGGUAGGGCUUUCAAAGGCCUCUGAUGUAUCAAUAACCAAACAACCCGCCUCCAUAUCCAUCACAAGGUCCUAGCUCUUCCAAUAAUGAGAUGGGACGGAUAGAGACAAUGUUUGAGAAAAUGAUAAAGAAAAAUGCCGACUCUGAUGCCCAAUUUUACUCCCACAACACUUCUAUCCGCAACUUGGAAGUCCAACUUGGCCAAAUUUCUCAAGCUUUGAAUACUCUCCCUAAGGGGGCACUACCAAGUGACACGGUAGUAAACCCGAAGGAUAGGAACAAUACGGUCCAUGCUAUGGCAGUGUCUACAAGAAGUGGUAAAGGUGGAGUUGCUAGUACCUCUAAUCCAAGAAAGGUUGUAAGUGAUGAUGUGUUGGUGCAACAUGAUGAUGAGCAAAGCAAUGAUGCGCAAGUGAAUGAUGAGAUUGUGAAUAAUGAAGUGAGGAUAGACAUUGAUUACAACGUGGAGGAGACACAAAAUGAUGUGAACCCGUCUAGGGAACACGUGAUAGACAUACCAGAAAUGGUAGUGCCCAAAGCCAAGGCUCUUUUGCCAAGGCCUCCUCCACCAUAUCCUCAAAGGCUAGCAAAACAAAACAAUGAGAACCAGUUCAAGAAAUUUAUUGAUAUGAUGAAAAGUUUGUCCAUAAAUGUGCCUUUGGUUGAAGCUCUAGAACAAAUGUCGGGAUAUGCCAAGUUCAUAAAGGACUUGGUAACAAAGAAGAUAUCAAUGAAUUGUGAAAUUAUCAAAAUGACACAUCAAGUGAGUGCUAUUGUGAACCCCAUGGCUCCAAAGUUAGAAGACCCCAGUGCCUUUACAAUUCCAUGCAUUAUUGGUAGUGCCGAUUUUGCCAAAGCUUUAUGUGAUUUGGGGGCAAGCAUUACCAUGAUGCCAUAUUCUAUGUUCAAAACAUUGGGGAUUGGGCAACCGAGGCCCACAUUCAUGAGAUUCCAAAUGGUGGAUAUGACAAUAAAGAGGGCAUUGGGGAUAAUUAAUGAUGUGAUAGUUCAUGUUGACAAGUUCAUAUUUCCCGUAGAUUUUGUGAUACUUGACUGUGAGGUUGACUACGAGGUGUCGAUCAUAUUGAGGAGACCAUUCCUAGCUACAGGGAAGGCCUUAGUUGAUGUGGAAGCAGGGGAACUCACCUUCCAGGUAGGCGAUGAAAAAAUUAUAUUCCAUGUUUGCAAGUCAAUGAGGCAGCCUAAUAGCAACGAAGUGUGUUCGUUUGUGGAUCUUGUGAUCGAGGUAAUGGUUUAAGACACAAGUGCUGCGAUUAAUGUGGAAGACCCUUUGGAAGUUGUAUUGUUGAAUCAUGAUGUGGUUGGGAAGGAAGGCUUGGUUGAAUAUGUCAAUGCUUUGCCAGAAAGGGGUUCAUAUACAUAUGAGCCCUGGAAACUUUCCUUGGACCUUGAAAACCGGAAGACUCCACCAACUAAGCCUUCAAUCGAGGAGCCUCCCAUAUUGGAGUUGAAGCCUUUGCCUUCACACCUCAGGUAUGAGUUCUUAUGCUCUUGUUCCACUUUACCUAUUAUUCUUUCCUCGUGCUUAACUAACGUACAGGUAGAUGCCACCCUUGUGGUGCUCCAAAGAAGGAAGAAAGCAAUAGGUUGGACAUUGGCGGAUAUUCGGGGUAUAAGCCCCGCCUUUUGCAUGAACAAAAUCAUAUUAGAGAAGGAUACCAAACCCUCCGUGGAACAUCAGAGAAGGUUGAACGAGGCCAUGCAAGAGGUUUUCAAGAAAGAGGUCAUCAAGUGGUUGGAUGUUGGGGUUGUCCACCGUAUUUCUGAUAGUUCAUGGACUUCGCCGGUACAAUGUGUCCCAAAGAAGGGGGCAUGACUAUGAUUACAAAUGACAACAAUGAUUUCAUCCCCACAAGAAAUGUCACCGGUUGGAGGGUAUACAUGGAUUAUAGGAAGUUCAACAAAGUGACUCGGAAAGACCAUUUUCCGCUUCCAUUCCUUGAUCAAAUAUUGGAUAGGUUAGAUGAACGUGUUUAUUAUUGCUUCUUGGAUGGGUAUUCUGGGUAUAACCAGAUUCUUAUUACACCUGAAGACCAAGAGAAGACCAUAUUCACUUGUCUGUAUGGCAAAUUUGCAUUCUCAAGGAUGCCGUUUGGUUUAUGUAAUGCACCGGCUACUUUUCAGCGGGGUAUGAUGGAAAUAUUCACGGAUAUUGUGGAGGACUUCCUCGAGGUGUUCAUGGAUGAUUUCUCUGUUGUGGGGGAUUCUUUUGAUAAGUGUUUGGGUAAUCUUGAUAAAGUCUUGCCACGUAGUGAAGAGACCAACUUGGCACUUAAUUGGGAGAAGUGUCACUUUAUUGUAAAGGAAGGUAUUGUCCUCGGCCAUAAGAUGUCCAAAAAUGGUAUUGAAGUGGAUAAAGCAAAAAUUGAAGUGAUAUCAAAACUCCCUCCUCCUACUUCCGUUAAAGGAGUGAGGAGAUUUUUAGGGCAUGCGGGGUUUUACCGUCAGUUCAUCAAGGAUGUCUCAAAGAUGGUGAACCCCUUGCGCAGGUUGUUGGAAAAAGAUGCAAAAUUUGUGUUCAAUGAUGAUUGUAUGAAGGCUUUUGAGCUACUCAAGUAUUGGUUGACUACCACUCCCAUCAUUACCGCACCAAAUUGGAGCUUACCAUUUGAGCUCAUGUGUGAUGCUAGCGAUGUGGCGGUAGGAGCGAUUGGGGCAAAGAAUCAACAAGAUAUUCCAUCCGGUCUACUAUGCUAGUAAGACCAUGAAUGACGCCCAAGUCAACUAUACAGUGACCAAGAAAGAACUCUUAGACAUCGUCUUUGCUAUGGAAAAGUUCUGCCCAUACCUCAUGGGUACCAAAAUGAUUGUUCACACCGAUCACGCGGCGCUUCGUUAUUUGAUGAGUAAGAAGGACUCAAAGGCUAGAUUGAUGAUGUGGGUACUUCUUCUACAAGAAUUUGAUCCUGAAAUCACAGACCAAAAAGGGAGUGAGAAUCAAGUGGCGGACCACUUGUCCCGUUUGGAAGAGGAGGGGAGGCCCCAUGAUGGCCUUGAGGUCAAUGGUUCAUUUCCGGAUGAACAACUCCUUUCCAUGUCUUUGACCAGGAUGCCUGUUGAUACCCAAUUUUUCCCUAUAUAUUUUAAAUAUGCAUAAAUACCUUCAAAAUAGCAUAUAUGCAUAUAUAAGCAUGCACAAGGUUUUUAUAAUUUUUCCCAUAAUUUUAAGGGUUUAAAUUGAUUUAUUUUCCCCCCUUUUAUUCAUAAAAUCCUCAAUAAUUAUUUCCAAAAUUAUUGUUAUGAUAAUUUAUUUAUUUAUUUCAUUUCUGUACUUAUACCAAAAUAUGGCUAAUAUAAUUUUUAUAAUUACAUUUAAUAUUUUUUUUAAGCUAAAUUGCAUAUAAUUGCAAUGUUAGCCCAUUUUAAGGUAUAAUUAUAUUUUUAUGCGUAAAAUUGGUCCCUAUAUUUUAAAAUGAUAAUUAUGUAUUUUAAAUAAUUUUGGCACAUUAAAUUAUUUUUCAGAAAUUACCUAUUAUUUAUUAUAAAUUAAAAUAGGGAAAGUGGCUAUUUAAAUAAUAGCCAGAUUUGGCUUUCAAUUGUAGCUCAAAUAGGACCCCUCCCCAGCCCAAUCUCCUACCCAAUUAACCUGAUCCAAAUCCCAUAAACACCUACCCAAACCCAGAAACAACCUACCUUAUUGAAUCCUGACCUUUGAUCUCCUAGAUCAAUGGUCUAAACACGCCCUUUCCUUUUUUAAUUCCUAAAUGACCCUCUAACCCUACUCAUUUCUAAACCAUCGCCGCCUUCAGAUGCUCUCGUCUAUCUUCUCUCUCAACCUAACCCUAAUCAUUCUUCAACCGCCGCCUCCUUCUCCGGUCAUCUCCAGCGACCACCUUUCAAUCCCAAGCCUCCAAUGGGUCUUCCAUCGCCUUGCUCAUCAUCUCUGAGGCCUUCAAGGGUCCUGGGCCAUGCCGAUUUGGAUCUAGGGUUUCUAUUUCUGUUGUCCAUGGCUUCUCUGGUGUGACUUUGGGCAAAAUCACACCAUAUAUGUUACGAUCUGUGAAGUUUACAAUAGGUUCUUUCGUUUCUAUUUGGGUUUCCUUUGAAACCCUAACUCUCGUUUGAAUCUCUUAGAUCCGUGCUAUUUUUAAUGCUUUAAGUCUGUUUUUAUCAAUGUUUUGCACUAUUCUCGAACUUCUUCUGAAAGAUCCUCAACUUUAAGCCGUUUCACUUUCUUUAAAAAUUAGGAUUUCUCGGAGUUUCUUCUACACUUGUUUUAACCGAUUUUUCUUUAUGAUUAAACCUCUUUCCUUGCUUAUCUUGACUAAUUUCAUGUUCUUAAUGCUUUUUCAAAUCGACUCUGUUAAAAGCCCUAAUUCAUUAGAUCCUCUUUGUUUUGUUCUGUGUGUUAGCAUGACUACUUGAUCUUGUUAAAGUUUCUAUCGGUUCCCAUGCUUCGAAUGGGUUUUCUACUGAGUCUUUAGCCUAUUGUGUCACUUUUGUGUGAUUGUUAUUCAUCUUGAUUUGUUCAUCUCUUGCUUCUUUCUGUCGAUAUGGCUGACCUUACCUGUUUGCUAUGUAUGUUCGUUCUUCUCUAUUUAUAUGUUGCAAUAUAGAAUCAUGACCAUCUCUUGAUUUGAUUCUGAUUCCCUUAUUUGAUGGUUCGAUUGAAAGGUUUUCUUUAGAAACCCUAAAAUUCUACUCGUCUAUUUAAAUUGACUAAUUUCAUUACCUUAUUUGUUGUGGUACUUGGUUCUUGCUGAAUCAUUCCUUACUUGGGGGUUUUCUGAACCUAGUCCUAAUUGACUACCCUAUGCUUACUAAAUCUUGAUUCUUUCCUUACUUAGUCCUGUACUGAUUUUUGUUUCUUGCCUUAUAUGCUGUUGUUUCUUACCGUUUGAAUUAACUCCCUUAACUUAAGAGAGUACUUCCUUGAUUUUCUAAUUGAUUGAUUCUGAGUUCCUCAAUUUAUGAUACUAUGAUUAUUACCUUAUUUUACUACAUAUUUUCAACUAUAAAUACCCUAAGUCUUUUAUUAACACACACGAACACUUAGGUUCAAAAACUACCUCUCUUACUAAAAAUCUCUACUCUCUCUCUCUCUUGUGCUAUUUUCUACUAUUAGUUGGUUGCAAGCCAAGGCUAAUCAUUUGUGCUCUCUUGUUCUCUCAUUCUGCUUACUUUUCUCUCACUGGUAUGUCCUAGUUUUAAUUUAAAGCUCCAACAACAACAUGCUUCUCUUAUUGUUUUAGUUUCUCUUAUUUCUAGUUUUCUUCUACUUGUGGUUCUAUUGUGAAACUUGUAGUUAAGUUACAUUAUCAACAAGUUAUUGCCUUCUCCCUUCCUUUAAAUUAGUGUAUUCCCUUAUGUGUGUUUCAAAGCAUGCCUUGCCAAUUGUCUUUUACUUGUUGUGUACUUACCAUCCUAUGAAUCCCCAAAUCCCUAUCACCCUUCUAUGUGUUUGUGUUCUUCAUGAUUGGUUUGUGACUAUGCCAGUGUCAACUGUUUCUGAGCAUGUCUAAACCAGUCCUAAGACCCUUGUUGGGUUAUGUGUUUGCAGCCAAAUGUCUAUGUGUCUCAAACCCCUUGACCCCUGUGUGACUACUGAAUUCAUUUGGAUUCUGUAAACUAGCUAUGUGUGGUCCUAUCUUAAGGUGUUUGAGCUUUGUUUACUACUCAAACUUCUUUUCCAAACAAUCUCUGUUGCUUUACUAAUUGCUUUCAAAACAGACUUUCUAAUACAGUCCUUAAUAAACCUUUUUCAACUUGUGUCCUGCACUUUCACUUUACUUUUAGUCAAUAGGUUCUGCCCCCUCUAGUAUGUGUACUGCCUUGGGAUCCUCUUGAGAGCCCUCUGAAAUAUGGAAUACUGAGGCUGGCCUUUCCACACUGCACUGGUUCAAUUCUUGGUUGUUAAGUCUAGGUGUAAGUAUUGCCUAGGGUCCUUGAGACCCUUAGGGAACUUUGAUGACCUAGACUCUGAUUUGUCUAUGGAAUUGAGGCUUAUGACACCAUUGGAGGCUUUGGGAAACUCGUGCCUAAUUGAAGGCUCCUUAUAGAAUAGCUUUUUGGUUUUUCUAUUUUACUUAUGUAAUUCAUUCAUUGGCCUGUAAUAAUUUAUAAAUAGAUAUUUGGGGUAUUUAGUAAAAAGGUAGGUAGAUAAAUACUUUCUAGGGUAAUACGGGUAGAGGUCCUGCUCUUAGGACAUUAUUUUUAAAAGUCUGACUGCUUGCAUAAAUAGAAAACAUGCUCAUAGGUUUGCCCUCUUGAAUCUGAUUGUUGUGCCUAAAUAGAAAUCAUGCCAAUAGGAUUUCACUACUAAGUUUGUCUGCAUCAAGUAGAAAUCAUGUUCAUAAGGUUCUGCAUUUUGUCAUUUUACAAACCAUGUUUUUAGGUUCCAAACAAUCAUGUCUUAAAUUAGUAGAUGUCAUGCCUAUAAGACUCAAUUCCAAUUCAGUUCUAAUAAGUAUUCUUGUAUGUUGCUGCAAAUCAAGUAAAAUCAGUAAUCCGCCUAGAUAUCAAGCCUAUAGGGAUCUCCACUCGCAAUUCUGUCUGAUAAUUUAAGUUAGCCUAAUGAAUCAACUCCAAUACACCUAGUUCAUUUUUUUAAAAACUGGUCUUAUUAAGUGUUAAACAUUUCUUGAAACAAGUUCUUUCAAAAUUGCCUCAAUCUCAUUAGAUAUCAUGCCUAUAGGUAUUAAAGGAGUCUAUUUCGAAAACCUAUUUGUUUCUGCACUAACAUAGAUACCAGUGUUCGCCAUAUAGGAAAACCUUAGGGCGUUUUCAAAAACUGCAUUUCCCUGAAGCUGUCUCUGUCGCUUAACGUUUUUGAUUCUAACAGGCUUUUAAAAAGAGUCCCUAGGCAAUCACUAGGGUGUAACUUCUGAGUAUAAAAGGUUUUGUCUGUUUCUACAUCUUCACUUAGAUAUCCUGCUUUAGGACAUCAAUUAAUAAAACCUUAACUAUGUUUGAGUCGUGCUGCUUUGUAUGUUUGUUUGAGAAGGAAACUUUGGGCCUCUUAAUUGCUCCCAUUAUGUGUGAAAGUCCUAAAUGUUUUGACUGUCACCUUAGAGUUUUCGCCUUUCUAAAAUCUUAGAGGUACGUCUAGAACUACCUAUAGGUAGAGGUCCUAACUCCCUCUGGAAUCGUUAAGAAGGGACAGGUAGCAGCAUGCAAUAGGAAUCAUUGACCAAACACUCGCUUUGCAUGACCAAUAAGGGAAUGGAAAGGGUAGACAUGGGAUAUGAUGACUACGCGUUAAUGUCACGUGUAUCCCCUCAUUGAGGAGUGUUUACCGGAUAUUGUGUGGGGUGAUCCUAUAGGAUAAACAACCUAGGACCCCUCUUUACCAAAACCUCUCUCUUUAUUUAAACUUUUGUUUACAACUUGUUCAAACAUUUAUCUUGUCACUCGAGUUAUCUAAUGUGCUUUACUUGAAACUUAUUUUAUUUAACUGUUUAUAUGGACUAAUUUGUGAAUAUAAGUUCGGCCGGGAUCCACAGUUGUGGACCAAGAGGGGUGACUAACACCUUCCCCUCGAGGAUACUUCGAGCCCUUACCCUAAUCUCUGGUAAUGCAAACCAACUCAAGAGUUAAUCGCUCUAGGUGUCCUAACGCACCAUAAUCCGUUAAGUGGCGACUCUUCAAAUACCCAAUUCCCUUAAGGAAAUGAGUCAUUACACCUCGUGAAUGUCGAAACCUGGACCUUUUCCCCCGUCAAAAAGGGGAGGAAAUAGGGGGCGCGAUAGCAUGAAAACUCUGCUGGGGAUAUUUUUAGGCUCUUACCAUAACAAACUUGUCUUUUACAAAUUAGUCCAAGCAUGUUUAUCCCGUACCCUUCUCCCUUAUUUGAGUUUAGCAGUCUUUUUUUCAAGCAUUUAUGAUUUCUUUAUUACCCUGAAAACUGACUUGUCUCUUUGUUUUCCUUUUUCUGUAACUGUCUUUUCAAUUAUUUAAAUGCAGUAUUUUUAUAUUUUUCCUACGUGAAAAUACUUGCCUACAUGUUAUUAAUUGCUGCAUAAAUCAUGCUCCACAUCAUAUUCCACUCGUGCGUAUCAAAUCCCAUAGCAACGCUUUAAUGAGUGGUUGCGCUCUUCCUAUUUAUUACCCUUAAAUUCGAAAAGGCUUAUUUGCGGUAAAACCAAUCGAUCAGCGGUGUAGUCGACGGUUCCGUGCCUUCCCCCUCAAGUUGUCCGCUUGAGGGUACCAAUCUAAAACCACAUAGAAACCUUACUCUGUUUAAAUUGUGCAUGCAUCAUGGUCAAACCUAGACGGGUCAGUUAUGUUGUCCACAUAAUGAUCCUUUAAGAUAAGCCUUAUCCAAAGUCCAUCGGGUUUUCCAUAGUCCCAACGGACGCAACCACAUUCUGUGCAUUAAUUUGGAGGACUAAAUGUCGAUAUGCGGAUCAUAAAUGUAUAAAUAGUUGAGUCUGAUAGGGGUAAGGCCUAACCCUUUUUAUUUUGCAGAAAAUGAGGCACAAGGUCCCCAUAUUCGGUAUGGUUAGCAAUAUCCCUCCAUUGUUGCUAGAUUGGUGGGAAGAACUUUCCUCAAGUGACAAGAAGCAUGUGAAUAAGUACCUGGGUAACUUUCCAUCCCUGCUAGAUAUUGAACCAAACAACAAAUUGAUCGAGGCUGCUACCCUAUUCUGGGAUAGUGAAAGAGUUGUGUUCCGCUUCGGUGACAUAGAAAUGACACUGCUUCUAGAGGAACUAGAAGGACUUGCAGGGUUUACUUGGGACAGUUCUGGGCUUUCGCUGCCGAAACACCGUACGGGCAGGGGAUUUUUGAAGAUGAUGGGGCUAAAAAAGAAUGUCGACCCAGUGUGCCUGAAGGAUUCCUACAUACCUUUCGAAUAUCUCCACGAGAGGUAUAGCCAUAGCAAGUCUUUCCGCACUUAUCAUGAUGAGAUCACCCUCACUUCACUGGGUCACAUCAACCGUAGAGUGUUCGUGUUCAUUGUGUGCUUUCUAGGGCUUGUAGUGUUCCCAAUGAAAAGGGGAAGAAUCCACACUAGGUUGGCCAUGGUCGCCAAAACUUUGAUGGAAGGGAUUAAUGGACAAACAUAUACCAUAGUCCCCAUGAUCAUAGCUGACAUCUACAGGCCCUGGAGCGCUGUAAGAGAGGGGUCAAGCAUUUCGAGGCUUGCAACUUAUUGAUGCAGUUAUGGUUGUUGGAGCAUCUCCAAAAGGGUCACUAUCGCCAAGAAUUUUUGCGAAGGGCUUGGAACGAUCACAUUGCUUUCCAUCACCCUAAGCAGAUGACCUAUAUUCCGGAAAGAUUUGCUCAGCCGAAAAGUGCUAGUGAAUGGGUAGAGUUCUUCGACAAUCUAACCUAGGGACAGGUGAAGUGGAUGGUUGAAUGGUUUCCAAUGGACGAGUUCAUUAUUAGGUCCAGGGAUGCUCCGCAUUUGGUGUUGAUCGGGUUAAGAGGGAUAUAUCCAUAUGUCCCUAUGCGAGUUAUGAGGCAAGAAGGCAGAAAACAGGUUGUACCAUGGGUCAUCAACAUGAGUCACUUCAGGGCAGAUUUCCAAGACGAUGACAUACCUUACAAGUGCCAAGCCCAGCACAUGUGGCGCUGCAAAAUCAAUGUGGAGAAAAGCACUGUUGAGCCAGACAGAUAUCACGUGGGGUGAGAGCCUCUCUACCCUACAUGGUUAGAGGACAAUCUAAAAGGAACGGUGAUACCGGGGACUGGUCGAGGGAACAAAAUCAUAGACGAGGAAGCUGAACCUCAAGUCAAAUACAACAGGCUGCGCAAGAGAGUCCACGACUCUGAGAAUGAGCAUCGGGAGAUACAUGAGAGGAACGUGAAGUUGAUUGAGGAAUGGAAAGAGAUGGUGGUCACUUACAACAGGAAACUAGAAUACCUGGAGAAAGGAAUAGUGAAGCUAGAGGGCAAAGUCAUAAAAAGGAUUGAAAACUAUCAGAAUGCUGAAGGAGCCGAGGGAGGACAUUUGGCCCGAGCCUACUUGCUGCUGGGACUGUGCGAAAUGGGAGAUCUGUUUGAUGGUGUCCGGAAUAUCGAAUCUGGGGAAGGUCCUUCUGGGACCAAAUAGAUUAGAUUUACUUGUUUUUCUUAAAAUGUAAUAACGCCAAGUGCCCGUAGUGACUUGUUUUAUUAUUAUUGUCGUUUUUGGAUUCGUACUUUUAUAUUAUGAAAUAAAGCAUUUAUUGGCAUUUGAAGUUCUCCAAAUUUAUUUGUCGCUAGGUCUACCUCGGGCACAAUGAGGCUCCCAAAUUAGGAUACGAGUUUAUAUUUCGUAAUAUGUCUGUAAAUAUUGAAAACAUUUCAGGAUCCCCACUAACUUGUUACCUUUUUAUUUUGUUUAUUUUUUAUUAUUAUUCUCAUCCCCAUAGGUUGGUUCAUCCAUACUGGCCUCGUCAGCAUAUCAUACCAGUUCUAGAGGCCCUCCACCUCCUCCUCCUCCAAGCAACCAAAAAGCAGAGGGAAAUCAAAGAUGAACAACUUAAGUGGAAUCUGAAAGGAAAACAUUGAGAAUGCAGAGACUUCUGAUGGCUGUAGUAGUCCGACCCCGAAUGACCUGGUUUUAAGACUUGAACAAAAGAUACUAGAACUACAAGGAGAACUUGAGCAGGUCCGCAAUUUGGCAAACUUGUCACUCACCCUCAACGUCCCUGAUAUCCACCAAGAAAACACAAAGAAUCCAACGCCUCCUCAGAAUACACAAAACCAACAACCACAAAAUCCUACCGUACCAAGUCAAUACGCAACUUCACCUUAAAAUAUCAAUCCAUUAUUGGUACCAACUCCACAACAACAACAUCAUCAGCCAAUUCCAUACCCACCAACCACCACUUACCACACCCCUCAAAAUACACCGCCACUCAUUCCCGAUCCACAAAACUCCACCAAUAACCAUCACUACACCCAAGUCCCUGGCACUCAUCAGAGCAACCCCAUAUACGUGGAAACUACACCACAUUCUACCCAGCCAAUAUCCUGUACACCGGAAUCCUCCGAAAAGGACCUGCUCAUUAAGAACAUGGCCGAAGAACUCAAGAAAUUAACAAGCCGAGUUCAAGGUGUUGAAGGCGAUAGAGGAAUAGAAGGUUUGAACUAUGAAGAUCUGUGCAUAUAGCCCGAUGUGGAAUUGCUGGAGGAAUAAAAACCUCCCAAGUUCGAAAUGUUCCAUGGAACAGGUGAUCCCAGGGUUUACCUAAGGACCUACUGUGAUAAGCUAGUCGGGGUUGGAAAAUAUGAAAAGAUUCGGAUGAAGCUCUUCAUGAGGAGCCUUACUGGGGACGCUUUGUCUUGGUAUAUCAGCCAGAAUCCUAAGAAAUAGUCAAAUUGGGUGAGCAUGGCGUCAGAUUUCAUGGACCGAUUUAGGUUCAACACAGAAAAUCCAUCGGAUGUCUUCUACAUUCAGAAUCUCAAAAAGAAACCUGCUGAAACUUUCCGUGAAUAUACUACUCGUUGGAGGUCGGAAGCCGCCAUGGUUAGGCCCGUUUUGGACGAAGAACAAAUGAAUAAAUUCUUCGUCAGAGCACAGGAUCCACAAUAUUACGAGAGACUGAUGGUCAUCGAAAAUCACAAAUUCUCUGAUAUCAUCAAACUCGAGGAAAGGAUCGAGGAAGGAAUCAAUAGCGGGAUGGUAACAAAUUUUAAGGCACUGCAAGCUACGAAUAAGGCACUCCAAUCAAGUGGCAUAUCGAAGAAAAGAGAUGUUGGGGCAGUAAUGGUGGCCCAGGGCCCAAAAACUCCACUCACAUAUCAAACACCUCCACCCACAUAUCAAACACCUCCACCCACAUAUCAAGCAUCAUCACCUACAUAUCAACCCUCAUCUCUUAGAUAUUCUUAACCAGCCAUUGUCCAUCAUACCUACAAUUCCCAACCAUCUCACUUCCAAUCACUACCAACCCGCCAAAAUUAUCUAAGACCAAGACCCAAUUUCUACCGCAAGCCACCUAGACAAUACACCGCUAUUGCUGAGCCCAUCGACCAAUUGUAUGAAAGGUUAAAGGCCGCAAGUUACGUCACUCCUAUUCCCGUUGUGGAACUAGAAAAUCUAUCCCAAUAGGUCAAUCCGAACAAAACAUGUGCAUACCACUCCGGUAUGAAAGGGCAUACCACUGCUGAGUGCCGAAAAUUGAAGGAUAAGAUCCAGACACUCAUUGACAACAAGGUCAUACAAGCAAAGGAAGCCACACCUAAUGUCUGUAACAAUCCCCUCCCUGAUCAUAGAGGUGACGGUGUACAUGCUAUAGAAACAAAUGAGGAAUGGGACCCUGAGAGGUCAAUCAGGCUUAUCCGAGAAGGUGAUGACUUUAAGGUUGCAGUUACAGUCACUCUUAUCGUGGUUCAGACUCAGGCACCUAUUGACGUUGAGGUAACUGCAUCAAUUCCAUUCGAGGUGGAAGUAGCUCCACCCGUAGCCACCUCCGCUCCAUUUGAAGUAGAAGUGGUCACACUUUUUACUGUGACGGUGUCAACCACACCCCCAUUCAACUCAAAAAUGAUACCCUGGGAUUAUGUCGUCGAGGCUCGGCGAAAAGGGAAGACUAAGAUAGGGGAAUCUGAUGCCGCACAAGGGGUGACUAGAACUGGAAGAGUCUACACGCCUGAACACCUGGGAGGUUCAAGUAAGGAUGCCACUGCUAUGCAACCUGUCAUUGAGACCGGGCUGGAUGAUCUAUGGCAAAAAGUACAUGCGAAAGAGUAUUCUAUUGUUAAUCACCUGAACAAAGUCCCUGCUCAGAUAUCUAUCCUGUCGCUAUUACAGAAUUCAGAGGCACACAAGAGCGUCUUGAUGAAAGUACUGAGCGAGGCUUAUGUACCCAAUAAUAUCACCGGUGGAGAAAUGGCCAACAUGGUCGGUCAGGUGCUGGAGAGCCAUAAGAUUAUCUUCCACGAAGAUGAGUUGCCGCCCAAAGGUCUGAAUCACAAUCGAGCAUUGCACAUUAUGGUACAAUUUGAAGAUAAGUUUAUUGUUAGGGUCCUGGUUGAUGGAGGUUUGAGUCUAAACAUUUGUCCGUUAGACACCCUGAAAAGGUUGGAUAAAGAUUUCCAUGAAAUACGGAUCGGAAGCAUGAAUGUGAAAGCUUUCGAUGGGUCCCAGAGGGCCACGAUUGGGGAGAUCAACCUUUGCUUGCAGAUGAGGCCAACCUGGUUCGACGUUGAAUUCCAAGUGCUUGACAUACCAGCCUCAUAUAAUCUUUUGUUGGGCAGCCCGUGGAUCCAUGUUGCUGGAGCCAUGCCCUCCAUACUACAUCAGGUCGUAAAAUUCGAAUGGAACCAUAAAGAGGUAAUCAUUCAUAGAGAUGGGAGUAACCCCAUCUACACUAGUCAAACCAUACCGACCAUUGGACAUAGAAGGGGGCUAGGAGGGGAAACCUACCAUCACAUUGAACGGGUCAAUGCCAUCGAGAAAGAUAAGUGGUGGAGUAAAAAAAUAGAAAGCAUACUAGCAUGGUCCGGAUAUUAACCCGGCAAAAGGUUGGGAAAGAACCUUAAGGGUAUCACCAAGCUGAUACGGCUGAAAACCCAUGGUANNNNNNNNNNNNNNNNNNNNNNNNNCCCAUGGUACCCACCUUUGGGCUCGGAUACCAGUAUACAUGGCAAGAGUACAGGGAGUGGUCGCCUCUAUGGCAUGGACCAUAUUACCCUCUUAAGCAACCGGUACCCUGUUUGGAACAAGCUUUCCAUCAGGCUGACACAAUAUGGGGAACUACGGAAGAAGAAGCACUAGCUGCUGAAGGACCUGUUCUUGGAAGAUGAGUAUAUGGACUGCAGUGCCAUAAUUGAGGAGGAAGAGGAAGAAGGCUUCUCCAUUCAGACUGUGGCAAAGGGAGUUGUUCUUAGAAACUGGACCGCCACACCAUCCCGAGCCCGCCGAGUCCCUGGGUAGCUUGGCAGAAUUUAUAGCCAUUCUAGGCAUUUUAAAUUUCCAGCAAUUUUGUUUUAAGAUUUCUUUGUUUCAAAAUAAAUGCUCGAUCCACUGAGCCAAGCUUUGUUUGAACAAUUUUCUUAGUUUUAAUCAAAUGCAUUUGUCCUUUACCAUUAUUCAUUACUAUUUUUAUAUUUUUUCCUUCUACAGUGUUAUUAUUACUUUCCCCGAUGAACCAGUGACUGUGACAUGUAAUGAGGCAACACAACAUGAGAAUAGUGACUCAGAGGAAGAAGAUGAGAUACCCGAGGAAAUUGUCUAGGAAGUUGAGAAUUUUGAGAACAAGCCUAAAUCCAACUUGGACGAAACAGAAGCAGUAAAUUUGGGAAAUGUCGAGACCGCCAAAGAGACCCGCAUCAGCAUUCAUUUGUCACCAAUAGAAAAGGAAGAGUACAUCCGUUUUCUAAAGGAAUAUGAGGAUAUCUUCGCAUGGUCGUAUGAUGAUAUGACCGGUUUGAGCACAUCUACAGUAGCUCACAAGUUGCCUACCAAUCCCAUGUGACCUCCAGUAAAGCAGAAACUCAGAAAAUUCAAACCAGACAUGAGUUUGAAUAUCAAGUAGGAAGUUACCAAGAAGAUCAAAGCCAAAGUUCUCAGGGUGGUUGAAUACCCAACCUGGUUAGCUAACAUCAUGCCAGUUCUGAAGAAGGACGGGAAUGUUAGGGUAUGUGUUGAUUAUCGGGAUUUAAACAGAGCAAGUCCAAAAGACGACUUUCCACUGCCAAAUAUAAACAUCCUGAUCAAUAACUGCGCCAAGCAUGAACUCCAAUCCUUUGUAGAUUUCUUCACAGGUUAUCAUCAGAUCUAGAUGGAUGAAGAAGAUGCCAAGAAGACAACUUUUAUUAUGCCUUGUGGUGUAUACUGUUACAAGAUGAUAUCGUUCGGUAUAAAGAAUGUUGGGGCUAUUUACAUGAGGUCCAUGCCAACCAUCUUUCAUUAUAUGAUACAUAAGAAGAUAGAGGUAUAUAUGGACGGCGUCAUUAUCAAAUCCAAGAGGGCCGCAGAUCACAUAGCAGACUUGAGGGAAUUCUUCGACAGGCUCAGGAGGUACAAUUUAAAGUUGAACCUCGCAAAGUGUACAUUCGGGAUUCCUGCAGGAAAGUUAUUGGGAUUCAUUGUCAUUCGCCAAGGGAUCGAGCUAGAUCUGACUAAAGUCAAAGCUAUUUAGGAGUUACCACCACCCAAAAGCAAAAAGGACGUAAUGAGCUUCCUGGGAUGGCUCAACUCAUCAGUCAAUUCAUAGCACAGUCCACNNNNNNNNNNNNNNNNNNNNNNNNNNNNNNNNNNNNNNNNNNNNNNNNNNNNNNNNNNNNNNNNNNNNNNNNNNNNNNNNNNNNNNNNNNNNNNNNNNNNNNNNNNNNNNNNNNNNNNNNNNNNNNNNNNNNNNNNNNNNNNNNNNNNNNNNNNNNNNNNNNNNNNNNNNNNNNNNNNNNNNNNNNNNNNNNNNNNNNNNNNNNNNNNNNNNNNNNNNNNNNNNNNNNNNNNNNNNNNNNNNNNNNNNNNNNNNNNNNNNNNNNNNNNNNNNNNNNNNNNNNNNNNNNNNNNNNNNNNNNNNNNNNNNNNNNNNNNNNNNNNNNNNNNNNNNNNNNNNNNNNNNNNNNNNNNNNNNNNNNNNNNNNNNNNNNNNNNNNNNNNNNNNNNNNNNNNNNNNNNNNCACACCGCCACUUCUGGUCCCGCCAGAACCAAAAUGACCUUUACUACUUUAUCUAUCUGUGUUAGAUGGAGCCUUCAGAUGUAUUUGGGACAACAUGAUGAGACACGAAGAAAGGAGCAAGCCAUAUAUUACCUGAGUAAGAAAUUCAUACCUUAUGAAGCACGGUAUUCUCUGCUUGAACGCACUUGCUGUGCUUUGACCUGGACAACCCAGAAGUUGAGGAAUUAUUUCUGUGCCUACACUACCUACCUCAUAUCUAGGAUGGAUCCUCUAAAGUACAUAUUUUAGAAGCCCAUGCCUACUAGGAAGUUGGCUAAAUGGCAGAUACUACUAAGUGAGUUCGACAUCGUCUAUGUAACUCAAAAUGUAGUCAAGGGAAAAGCAUUAGCAGAUCACCUCGCUGAAAAUACGGUGGGAGGAGAAUACGAACCCUUGAAAACGUAUUUUCCUUAUGAAGAGGUAUCAUUCGCAGGAGAAGACAUUACGGAAGCAUAUGACGGUUGGAGGUUGUUCUUUGAUGGAGUCGCAAAUUUCAAAGGAGUAGGCAUUGGAGCAGUUUUGGUAUCAGAAACGGGUCAGCAUUAUCCGGUAUCUGCUAAACUCAUAUUUCUCUACACUAAUAACAUGGCAGAAUAUGAGGCAUGCAUACUAGGGCUCAACAUGGCAGUCGACAUGAACAUUCAGGAGUUGUUGGUGAUCGGCGAUUCAGAUUUGCUUGUGCACCAGGUGCAAGGAGAAUGGGCUACCAAGAAUUCCAAGAUAUUACCAUAUCUGCACCAUGUGCAGGAAUUGAAAAGGAGGUUCACGAAGAUAGAAUUACGACAUGUGCCCAAAAUUCAGAAUGAGUUCGCCGACGCAUUAGCCACCUUGUCAUCAAUGAUACAUCAUCCAGAUAAGAACUAUAUUAAUCUCAUUCCAAUAAGGAUCCAUAAUCAGCCAGCAUAUUGUACUCAUGUCAAGGAAGAAGUAGACGAAAAGCCUUGGUUCUAUGACAUCAAGGAGUACUUAUCCAAAGGAGAAUACCUGGAGCAUGCAAAUCACACUCAGGAAUGCACGCUCCGAAGAUUGUCAAAUCACUUCUUCCACAGCGGAGGGAACUUGUACAGGAGAACUCUGGAUUUGGGUUUACUAAGAUGUGUCGACGUAAAAGAAUCUUCUAAGCUACUUGAGGAUGUGCAUGCUGGGACCUGCGGUCCGCACAUGAAUGGCUUCAUUCUUGCCAAGAAAAUACUCAGGGCAGGUUACUUUUGGAUGACCAUGGAGAUGGAUUGUAUUCAGUAUGUCUGCAAAUGCUUUCAAUGCCAAGUGCAUGCCGACAUGAUAAAAGUGACACCAAACGAGCUCAAUACAACAAGCUCACCUUGGCCAUUCGCCGCUUGGGGAAUGGAUGUUAUUGGUCCAAUUGAGCCCAUGGCUUCAAACGCACACCGGUUUAUUCUGGUAGCCAUUGAUUACUUCACAAAAUGGGUAGAAUCUGCAUCUUACAAAGCUGUAACAAAGAAAGUCAUCGCAGAUUUUGUCAAGGAUCGUAUUGUCUGCCAAUUCGGAGUUCCUGAGUCCAUUAUUACUGACAAUGCCACCAACCUCAACAAUGAUCUUAUGAAAGCUAUAUGUGAAACUUUCAAAGUCAAGCACAAGAAUUCCACCGCCUACAGACCUCAGAUGAAUGGAGCCGUAGAAGCUGCCAACAAAAACAUUAAGAAGAUACUAAGGAAAAUGGUAUAGAAUCACAAGCAGUGGCAUGAGAAAUUACCCUUUGCUCUGCUAGGGUACCGCACCAUAGUUCGCAUGUCAACCGAGGUAACCCCCUACAUGCUGGUUUAUGGUACCGAGGUUGUCAUCCCAGCCGAGGUAGAGAUUCCUUCUUUAAGAGUCAUACAGGAAGCUGAACUUAGCGAUACGGAAUGGAUAAGAAGUCGCUAUGAGCAAUUGGCCCUUAUCGAUAGAAAGAGAAUGAACGCAAUAUGUCACAGCCAACUGUAUCAGAACAGAAUGUACAGAGCUUUCAACAAAAGGGUCAAACCAAGACAGUUUGCACCAGGGCAGCUGGUAUUGAAGAAGAUCUUCCCACAUUAAGAUGAAGCUAAAGGGAAAUUCUUUCCCAACUGGCAAGGUCCGUAUAUGGUUCACAGGGCACUAACAGGAGGAGCACUCAUACUUGCAGAGAUGGAUGGAGAGAUCUGGCCAAAACCAAUCAAUUCAGAUGCAGUCAAGAGAUACUAUGCCUAGAUUAUUUCACAUUUUCGUUUCUGAUGUAAUUGAACUACGCUUGACCUGAUUCCCGUUUAAGAGGGGAUACGUAGGCAGCCUUAUGGGUUCGGUCAUAUCAUAAUAAAUUUUUCAUUUUCCCCCAGAAUCAGAAACUAGGGCAGAAUUUUGAUGAGGGUCAUCAAAAUUCUGGGACAAGUCCAGCCAGCGCCAUCACAUGAUAGGAAGUCAGUCAUUAGUCAAGAACUAGGGCAGAAUUUUGAGAAGGAUUCCCAAAAUUUCGAAGAAGAUUCAGCAAGGUCCGCCAUCCGUAAGUGGUUAAAAAUCAUCUACCAAACUGGGGCAGAAUUUUGAGGAGGACCCUCAAAAUUUCAACAUAAGAGAGUUGCAAUGCCUUUAAAAUGUGUCACAGUCGCUAGUUCAUCAAAAGUUACUUGAUAUAUCAAUACGCUUCCAAAACAAUCCUAUUUUAUCAAUGAAUGCAUAUUUUUCAAAAAUUCUAUUUUUCAUAAUAGUUAGGUGCUACCUAGGGGAACUCGAAGGGGGCUUCCAGAGUGGAGCAAAGCAAGGCCGGCAGACGAAGCAAGAACCAACCUCCCCUCAUGAAACUUAUGAUUUUUCUUUGAAUGCAGGCACAUUAGACGAUAUCAUUUGUACACAAAGCAAAUUCAUCAUCCAUCCGGAUGUUAGACGCUGAACAUAUCCUAGCUAAGAUAUACUCUACCCUUAUAUGUUAUUUUCUCUUUGCAUGAGUCUAAUCUCUGACUCCAUAUUUGCAUGAGUCUAAUCUCUGACUCCACAUUUGCAUGAGUCUAACCCUUGACUCCACAUUUGCAUGAGUCUAAUUCCUGACUCCAUAUUUGCAUGAGUAUAAGCCCUGACUCCAUAUUUGCAUGAGUCUAAUCCCUGACUCCACAUUUGCAUGAGUCUAAGCCCUGACUCCAUAUUUGCAUGAGUCUAAUCUCUGACUCAACAUUUGCAUGAGUCUAAUCUUUGACUCCACAUUUGCAUGAGUCUAACCUCUCACUCCCCAUUUGCAUGAGUCUAGUCCCGAACUCCAUAUUUGCAUAAGGCUAAGCAUUGCCUUCUCUCUGCAUGAGACUAAGCCCUGUCUCAAAUCUUGCAUGAGUCUAAUCCUUGACUCCAUAUCUGCAUAAGGCUGAUCCUUGACUCCAUACCUGCAUGAGUCUAAUCCCGAACUCCAUAUUUGCAUGAGGCUGAUCCUUACCUCCAUACCUACGUGAGUCUAAGCCUUGACUCCAUAUUUGCAUGAGGCUAAUCUUUGCCUCCCCGUUUGCUCUAUUUUCUACUACUAUCUACCUGCUUUUCAAUCGGGCUAAGCCCUGUCCUCUACCCCGCAAGACUAAGCCUUGUCUUGUCACAUCAUAUUAUUGCAUAUCAUGGGCUGAAAUAUCGCCAAUCUGUCCAAAGGAGUCAUAGUCUAAAGGCGCCAUCUUCAUAGCCGGAAGACACCAUGUCAUGGCCUUAGGAUAUCUCAAAUUUGCAUAUCAUUAUUCAAAGGCGUCAUGGUUCGGAGGCACCAUUUUCAUGGCCCGAGAACAUUAUUUCAUGACCUGUCAAUCCCUCAUUAAACAAUUCAUGGCCUAGGCCGUCAUGGUCCAAGGACAUCAUCUUUAACCGUCCGAAGACAACCUUCAUGGUCCAACCGCUAUCUUAGUAGGAGCGAUCUCGCUCCAGUUCCCUCUGAUCGUCCCGAGCCUUAACCGCUCAUCAUGCCUCUUCCACAUCUCAUGUCCGUUCUUACAAUAAUUUCAUCGGCAUACUCCGCAGGUGAAUCCAGAACUACACAUGGCCUGAUUCGUAAAAAAACCAGAGAUAUGUAGGCAACUUGAAAACUGGAGCUCGGCCUCUGUCUUUCAAAGCAUCCCAUCCGGUCAAAAUUGGCCAUCAUUUCUUUACCCGAAAACUCUUUCAUCUUUCCCAGGUAAAGAUGGGCAGCUGUUGAUACCCAAUUUUUCCCUAUAUAUUUUAAAUAUGCAUAAAUACCUUCAAAAUAGCAUAUAUAUAUAUAUAUAUGCAUAUAUAAGCAUGCACAAGGUUUUUAUAAUUUUUCCCAUAAUUUUAAGGGUUUAAAUUGAUUUAUUUUCCCCCCUUUUAUUCAUACAAUCUCCAAUAAUUAUUUCCAAAAUUAUUUUUAUGAUAAUUUAUUUAUUUGAUUUCUAUACUUAUGCCAAAAUAUGGCUAAUAUAAUUUUUAUGUAUUUUUAUAAUUACAUUUAGUAUUUUUUUUAAGCUAAAUUGCAUAUAAUUACAAUGUUUGCUCAUUUUAAGGUAUAAUUAUAUUUUAUGCGUAACAUUAGUCCCUAUAUUUUUAAAAUGAUAAUUAUGUAUUUUAAAUUAUUUUGGCACAUUAAAUUAUUUUCCAAAAAUUACCUAUUAUUUAUUAUAAAUUAAAAUAAGGAACAUGGCUAUUUAAAUAAUAGCCAGAUUUGGCUUUCAAUUGUAGCCCAAAUCGGACCCCUCCCCAGCCCAAUCUCCUACCCAAUUAACCUGAUCCAAACCCAAAUAAACACCUACCCAAACCCGAAACCCACCUACCCGGUUGAAUCCUGACCUUUGAUCUCCCAGAUCAAUGGUCCACACACGCCCUUUCCUUUUUAAUUCCUAAAUGACCCCCUAACCCUACUCAUUUCCAAACCCCCACCGCCUUCAGAUGCUUUCGUCUCUCUUCUCUCUCAACCUAACCCUAAUCAUUCUUCAACCGCUGCCUCCUUCUCCGGUCAUCUCCGGCGACCACCUUUCAACCCCAAGCCUCCAAUGGGUCUUCCAUCACCUUGCUCAUCAUCUCUGAGUCCUUCAAGGGUCCUGGUCCAUGCCGAUUUGGAUCUAGGGUUCUAUUUUUGUUGUUCAUGGCUUCUCCGAUGUGAUUUUGGGCAAAAUCACACCAUAUAUUCUACGAUCUGUGAAGUUUACAACAGGUUCUUUUGUUUCUAUUUGGGUUUCCUUUGAAACCCUAACUCUUGUUUGAAUCUCUUAGAUCCGUGCUAUUUUUAACGCUUUAAGUGCGUUUCUUCCUAUAUUUUGCACUAUUCUCAAACUUCUUCUGAAAGAUUCUCAACUUUACAUCGUUUUACUUUCUUUAAAAAUUAGGAUUUCUCGGAGUUUCUUCUACGCUUGUUUUAACCGAUUUUUCUUUAUGAUUAAACCUCUUUCCUUGCUUACCUUGACAGAUUUCAUGUUCUUAAUGCUUUUUCAACUCGGCUCUGUUAAAAGCCCUAAUUUCUUAGAUCCUCUUUAUUUUGUUAAGUGUGUUAGCAUGACUACUUGAUCUUGUUAAAAUUUCUGUCGGAUACCAUGCUUCGAAUGGGUUUUCUACUGAGUCUUUAGCCUAUUUGUGUCACCUAUGUGUGAUUGUUAUUCAUCCUGAUUUGUUCAUCUCUUGCUUCUUUCUGUCGAUAUGGCUGACCUUACCUAUUUGCUACGUCUAUUCGUUCUUCUCUAUUUAUAUGUUGCAAUAUAGAAUCAUGACCCUCUCUUGAUUUGAUUCUGAUUCCCUUAUUUGAUGGUUCGAUUGAAAGGUUUUCUUUAAAACCCCUAAAAUUCUACUCGUCUGUUUAAAUUGACUAAUUUCAUUACCUUAUUUGUUGUGGUACUUGGUUCUUGCUGAAUCAUUCCUUAAUUGGGGUUUUUCUGAACCUAGUCCUAAUUGACUACCCUAUGCUUACUAAAUCUUGAUUCUUUCUUUAAUUAGUCAUGUACUAAUUUUCUUUUCUUGCCUUAUAUGCUGUUGUUUCUUACCGUUUGAAUUAACUCCCUUAACUUAAGGGAGUACUUCCUUGAUUUUCUAAUUGAUUGAUUCUGAGUUCCUCAAUUUAUGACACUAUGAUUAUUACAUUAUUUUUACUACCUAUUUUCAAAUAUAAAUACCCUAAGUCUUUCAUUAACAUACACGAACACUUAGGUUCAAAAACUACCUCUCUUACUAAAAAUCCCUGCUCUCUCUCUCUUGUGUUAUUUGCUACUGUUAGCCGGCUGCAAGCCAAAGCUAAUCAUUUGUGCUCUCUUGUUCUCUCAUUCUGCUUACUUUUCUCUUCACUGGUAUGCCCUAGUUUUAAUUUAAAGCUCCAACAACAACAUGCUUCUCUUAUUAUUUCAGUUUCUCUUAUUUCUAGUUUGCUUCUACUUGUGGUUCUGUUGUGAAACUUGUAGUUAAGUUACAUUAUUAGCAUGUUAUUGUCUUCCCCUUCCUUUAGAUUAGUGUAUUCCCUUAUGUGUGUUUCAAAGCAUGUCUUUCCAAUUGUCUUUUACUUAUUGUGUACUUACCAUCCUAUGAAUCUCUAAAUCCCGAUCACCCCUCCAUGUGUAUGUGUUCUUCAUGACUGGUUUGUAACUAUGCCAGUGUCAACUAUUUUUUAGCAUGUCUAAACCAGUCCUAAGACCCUUGCUGGGUUAUGUGUUUGCAGCCAAAUGUCUAUGUGUCCCAAACCCAAUGACCCUUAUGUGACUACUGAAUUCAUUUGGAUUUUAUAAACUAGUUGUAUGUGAUCCUAUCUUAAGGUGUUUGAGCUUUGUUUACUACUCCAACUUCUUUUCCAAACAAUCUCUGUUGCUUUACUAAUUGCUUUUAAAACAGACUUUCUAAUACAGUCCUUAAUAAACCUUUUUCAACUUUUGUCCUACACUUUUACUUUACUCUUAGUCAAUAAGUUUUGCCCCCUCUAGUAUGUGUACUGCCUUAGAAUCCUCUUGAGAGCCCUCUAAACUCUAGCAUACUGAGGCUGGCCUUUCCACACUGCACUAGUUCAAUUCUUGGUUGCUAAGUCUAGGUGUAAGCAUUGCCCGGGGUACUUGAGACCCUUAGGGAACUUUAAUGCACCUAGACUCUAAUUUGUCUAUGGAAUUGAGGCUUAUGAGACCAUUGGAGGCUUUGAGAGACUCGGGCCUAAUUGAAGGCUCCCUAUAGAAUAGCUUCUUGAUUUUUCUAUUUUACUUAUGUAAUUCAUUCAUUGGUCUGUAAUAAUUUGUAAACAGAUAUUUGGGGUAUCUAGUAAAAGGGUGGGUAGAUGAAUACUUUCUAGGAUAAUACGGGUAGAGAUCCUACUCUUAGGAUAUUAUUUUUAAAAGUCUGACUACUUGCAUAAAUAGAAAACAUGCUCAUAGGUUUGCUCUCUUAAAUCUGAUUGAUAUGCCUAAAUAGAAAUCAUGCAAAUAGCAUUUCACUUCUAAGUUUGUUUGCAUCAAAUAGAAAUCAUGUUCAUAAGGUUUUGCAUUUUGUCAUGUUAGAAACCAUGUUUAUAGGUUCAAAACAAUCAUGUCUUAAAUCAGUAGAUGUCAUGCCUAUAGGACUCAAUUCCGAUUCAGUUCUAAUGAGUAUUCCUGUUUGUUGUUGUAAAUCGAUUAAAAUCAGUAAUCUGCCUAGAUAUCAAGCCUAUAGGGAUCUCCACUUGCAAUUCUGUCUGAUAAUUUAAUUUAGCCUAAUGAAUCAAAUUCAUUACACCUAGUUCAUUUUUUAAAAAACUGGUCUUAUUAAGUGUUAAACAUUUCCUGAAACAAGUUCUUUCAAAAUUGCCUCAAUCUCAUUGGAUAUCAUGCCUAUAGGUAUUAAAGGAGUCUAUUUCAAAAACCUGUUUGUUUCUACAUUAACAUAGAUACCAGUGUUCUGCAUAUAGGCAAGCCUUAGGGCGUUUUCAAAAACUGCAUUUCCCUGAAGCUGUCUACGUCGCUUAACGUUUCUGAUUCUAACAGGGUUUAAAAAGAGUCCCUAGGCAAUCACUAGGGUAUAAAUUCUGAGUAUAAAAGGUUUUGUCUGUUUCUGAAUCUUCACUUAGAUAUCCUGCUUUAGGACAUCGAUUAAUAAGACCUUAACUGUGUUUGAGUCGUGUUGCUUUGUAUGUUUGUUUGAGGAGGAAAUUUGGGCCUCUUAAUUGCUCUCAUUAUGUGUGAAAGUCCUAAAUGUUUUGAGUGUCUCCUUAGAUUUUUCGCUUUUAUAAAACCUUAGGGGUACAUCUAGAACUACCUAUAGGUAGAGGUCCUAACUCCCUCAGGGAUCAUUAAGAAGGGACGGGUAGCAGCACGUAAUAGGAAUCAUUGACCAAACACCCGCUUUGCAUAACCAAUAAGGGGAUGGGAAAGGUAGACAUGGGAUAUGAUGACUACACGUUAAUGUCACGUAUAGCCCCUUAUUGAGGAGUAUUUACCGGACAUUGUGUGGGGUGAUCCUAUAGGAAAAACAACCUAGGACCCCUCUUUACCAAAACCUCUCUCUUUAUUUAGACUUUCGUUUUUACAACUUGUUCAAACCUUUAUCUUGUCACUCGAGUUAUCUAAUGUGUUUUACUUGCAACUUAUUUGAUUUAACUAUUUAUAUGGACUAAUUUGUGAAUAUAAGUUUGGUCGGGACCCACAGUUGUGGACCAAGAGGGGUGCCUAACAUCUUCCCCUCGAGGUUACUUCGAGCCCUUACCCUAAUCUCUGGUAAUGCAGACCAACUCAAGAGUUAAUAUCUCUAGGUGCCCUAAUGCACCAUAAUCCGUUAGGUGGUGACUCUUCAAAUACCGAAUUCCCAAAAGGAAAUGAGUCAUUACACCCCGUGAAUGUCGAAACCCAGACCUCUUCCCCCGUCAAAAAGGGGAUGGAAAAAAGGGGCGCGACAAUGCCUUGGUUUGCCGAUGUGGCUGACUAUCUUGUGAGUGGAAUUGUCCCAAAUGAGUUCUUUUUAAACCAAAAGAAGAAGCUUAAACGAGAUUGCUUGGAUUAUUAUUGCGACGAGCCUUAUAUUUUCAAAAUUUGCACUGAUGGUGUUAUCCGGAGAUGUGUUCCAGAAGAAGAGCAAUUGGGUAUUCUUAAAGCUUGCCAUUCCUUGCCUUAUGGUGGUCACCAAGGUGGGGUGAGAACUGCUACAAAGGUCCUAAGUUGUGGAUUCUAUUUGCCUACCUUGUACAAAGAUGCUAGCGAGCUAGUUCAGUGAUGUGAUGAGUGUCAAAGAGCCGGUGGAAUUUCCAAGAAGAAAGCGAUGCCUCUCACUACCAUCCUUGAGAUCGACAUUUGCGAUGUGUGGGGUAUCAACUUUAUGGGUCCAUUUGUGAGUUCAUGUGGGAACACUUAUAUUCUUGUUGUUGUGGAUUAUCUCUCCAAGUGGGUUGACGUUAUGGAUUUUCCCAACAAUGAAGCACGGAGUGUGGUAGCCUUCUUGAAGAAAAACAUAUUCACAAGGUUCAGCACCCCAAGGGCCGUCAUUAGUGGUGGGGGUUCUCAUUUUUGCAACAAUGCCUUUGACACUUUACUCUCCAAGUAUGGUGUCACUCACAUGGUGUAAACUUCCUAUCACCCCUAGGCAAGUGGGCAGGUUGAGGUCUCCAACAGGGAGAUCAAGAUUAUUCUAUCCAAGACUGUCAAUGCAAACCGGACUGAUUGGUCAAGAAAACUUGACGAUGCUUUAUGGGCCUAUAAAACAGCUUACAAGAUUCCAAUUGGUAUGUCUCCAUAUCGGUUGGUAUUUGGUAAAGCAUGUCACCUCCUGUUGGAAUUAGAGCAUAAGGCCAUGUGGCGUUGAAGAAGUUGAACCUAGAGUGGGAUGUAACUGCCAAUCUUCGCGUGGAGCAAUUGAAUGAACUUGAUGAGUUUCAGUUCAAUGAUUACUCCAGUUCGUCAUUGUAUAAGGACAAGAUGAAGUACCUACAUGAUAAGUAUAUCCGGAACAAAGAAUUCAAAGAAGGUGACCUUGUUCUUUUAUUCAACUCUCGGUUACGAAUGUUUCCAAGAAAGCUACAAAAUGGAGUGGUCGCUUUGAAGUGGUGCAUGUAACUCCCUUUGGUGCUCUAGAUUUGAAAAACAAGAAUGGUGAGAUCUUUAGAGUCAAUGGGCAUCGAGUGAAGCACUACCUUGGUACGUUUGAGGAAGGCCACGUUGUGGCAUUGGUUCAUUUCAAGUGAAUGAUGGUAACAUGCGUCAUGCCGCGACGUUAAAUCAGGCGCUUCUUGGGAGGCAACCCAUGUGUUUCUUUAUUUUGAUUUUCUUCUUAGAUUAUACAUUGUUUUGGACUAAUUGGUUAUGAAGUGUAUGUAGGAAUUGGUUGUGCAGUGCAGAAAGUUGACAGGAAGAAUUUGGCUAAGUGUUGGAAAUUCGUGGACCGCGCUCAAAAUUUUGCGAUCCGUAUGAGCAUUUUGCGGCCGCACCUUUUUUGUCCGCGGACGCGUAAUUGAAAAGAGCAAAAUGCCAACUCUCUGAAGUUGGACUAUCAAAUAUCCUUCAGAUUUCACGACCGCGUACAUAUUUUGGCAGUCCGCGGUGUAUUUCGCGGCUGCGUCCAUUAUUCCGCGGACCGCGCCCAUGUAUGAGGUUGUUCUUCAUCAGGUAACAAAAGGUGGACCGCGAUAGAAUUUCGCAGCCGCGCUCAGGUAAGGCAGUGGGUUCCAAAAGUUUCUAAGUAUAAAUAGGGGCUCCUUAAUCAUUUUAUACUUUUCGACUCCUAACAUUUCACCGCACAAAAAGCAUUGUUCCUCUUCUCCAGCUCUCAAUUUCACCUCAUUCUAAUCAAGAGUUCAUUUCCUACUAAAACUUUAUAACUGGUAUGUUCAAUUCCAUGAUUUGAUUUUAUCUUUUUCUUUUCUUUUCUCUUUGUUUUAAUUUUUCUUUUUAGUUAGCGUUAGAUAUAUGCCAUAAUCUUAAUUAAUGCUUAAUUGUUGCUCAAGUACGUGUGGGUAGUGUUUGUAUGCCUAAUGGGGGCUGGGGUGAAUAACUUUGCAUGAUCAAUUUCUACUAUUCUUAAGUAAUUAGUGAAAACCCUAGGCUAAAAUGUUCGUCAGUACCAGUCUUUUGUGAAUUUCACGGCCAUGGUCAAUUUUCUGCGGACCGUGUUAGGGUAUGCAGCUGCGUUCAGUUUUUCGCAGUCUGUGAUACCCUAGCUUUUAAUUACUGAGUAUUAAUAUAAUUUCACGGUUGCGAUCACUUUUACGAGGUCCGCGGUUGGUCCAUUGCGGCCGCGUCUGAUUUUUUGCGAUCCGUGCCUUUGAAAUUCUCAGAAUUUGUUAAUUGUUUUUGCGGCCGCGUUCACUUUUUUACGGCCCCCGGUUGAUCGUUGGCAGUUGCGUCUAAUUUUUCGCCGUCCGCGUUUGUCCAAGAUCAGAGUGUUAGUAGUCUAAAUCUCAAGUUCACUUUCUGCGGUCCGCGAUGGGCAUUUCGCGACCGUGCUCACUUUUACGCGGUCCGCGGUGCCUUGUACUGAGAAGUAGUGCUGCAUUUUAUAUGUAUUUUGUUUAACAUAUGCUUGAAGCCCUUUUUCUAACUAUAUUUUAUUGCUUGUAUGCUGCAGACAAUGGUCCGUUCCAGAGGCAGAUGUGAUACAUCUAAAGGGAGGGUAGAACCCUCCCGAGGCAGGGGUAAAGGAAAGACUAAUGUCACACCUCCUUUUUCCUACCCCGAGAGGGAUAUAAGAGAAUUUUUUUCCAAUUAAAGUGACAAUCGAAACGGGAUUAUUUUUAGAUUCAGAGUCGCCAAUUGGGAUAAUUUAGGGUGUCCCAAGUUACCGAUUUUAAAUCCCGAAUCGAGGAAAUAUUGACUCUGUUUUACAGUCCGCGAACACAGAAAUCCGGGUAAGGAAUUCUGUUAACCCGGGAGAAGAUGUUAGGCAUUCCCGGGUUCCGUGAUUUUAGCAUGGUCGCUCAACUGUUAUUAUUGGCCUAUUAUCUGAUUUUAAUCCAUGUUUUAACCUAUGGUAUAUUUUAACUUAUUAACCGCUUUUAAUUAAUUUUAGGAAAAUUCAAGGUUAUUUAAAACACAUCGCAAGCCACGCUACAUGAAAUGUACCCGUGACUCACGACACANNNNNNNNNNNNNNNNNNNNNNNNNUUUAGAAAUUAGGCAUCACAAGUACGUCACAGUAACCGUACCCGUAGCCAUGACAAUUUUAUUGAUCGCGCCUAAAACAAGCUACGAUGUUUAUGAAUUACUCAUUUCCUAAAUUUAAGAAUUAGCGUAAGGCAUGAUUUAUGGAAACGAAAUGCUAAAGUAAAGAAUUAGUCGUGUUAUACGGUCAAAGAAUCUAACACGUGAAAUUGAGUUUUCUACAUAAUUAUGCUUCCCUCAACCAAACGUCCAUUUUUCUCCUUACUGCCUUUAAUUCAAGGCACAAAAUUCAUCAUUUCAAUUCAGUAGACCAUUCUUAUCCAAUUCUCAAACAAAUAAUGACAACCCAUAACUGAUUAAACUUGCAUUUUAAUAAAGCCCAAAACCAAACUUAACAGAUAAGACAAUAACUUGACAAACGUAUUGACAUUAUCUACACCAACAUAUUCAUUCGACCAACUUUCCAAAAUUCCAUGAGCCAAAAAUGGACAGAAUAAUCAAUCAACAACCGGUACUCAUUCAAAUCGAAUAAAACAAAACCUAGAACAAUGAAUCCUUGAAGGUAGACAACCAAAAUAUGAUAUACAGAUCAAAUAGAAACAUGUUGAAAGAAAUGCAAUGAAAACAGUGGUUAAGAAAAGAGUGAACCUUUUAGAGAUGAAGAUCUUCUAUUGCUGAAAUUUUCCAACGUUUACAAUGAUGAGGAGAUCCAAAUUAACGUACAAAAAAACAACUGUGACCAAGAACCCGGAUCAUGAACCUUCAACAACGAGUUUCGACCACGACCUCGGACUGAACCUCUUGCCGGCGAGCUCAAAUUUCGACUUAACCUCUCUGGCAAUGGAAUUUGUUGGCUAUUUUGAGUGGGGUAAGGGUCAGUGAGUUUAUUGUUCGCUAGUUUUUCAAAAUCGAGAGGAAGAAGAUGAACGAUGGGAAAGGCUCGUUUGAAAGAAGAAGAAGAACAAUGGGGUGUAGGUUCCCUGGAGAAAAACGACAUGGGGGAUCUUUUUCUUGGUUUUUCUUAGCUUUUUCAGCUUUUUCUUAGGUCCUUUAAGGCGUUAGGUGUUAGCCCCGUUAGCUGAUUAGGCGUUACCCCUAUUAUAUAGGUCUAGGUCUAAAUGUGUAUUUUUGCGCUAAUUGCUCUUAGGUCCUUAGGGUCUUUUUAUUUAUUUUUUGUUCCAAAGAAGAGUUUAG